ensembl:lncRNA
AUGCUCAAGAGAGUAGGUGGGGGUGGGGAGGAAUGGAACCUAGCAAAUAAUUCAAAUCGCAAAAGAGAGCGAGGAUAUAAUUCUCAGGAUAGCGAUAUGGAUAACUCACAGGUUAAAGCAAUAAAACCAAACCCAAAUAGUGAUGAAGGAUUUAGAGUUCUGAUCAAAGUAAAGGGAGGGGCUGGAUUUUCUACAGUCAGUCCCCUUAAAUUAACGAAUGAACUAAAGAAGGGGAUUGGGGAUAUUUUGCAUGCUUCUAUUUUGCAAAAUGGAAUGAUUUUAAUUACAUGUAAAUCAGAAACGCAGGCUUUCAAGAUAAAAACUGUGCUUGGUAAGGGAGUGGAGGUGUUCAAACCACAAACAAACUCAGAGGUAAAAGGAGUGAUGUAUAAUGUGCCAGUGGAUAUAUCUGAGCAAGAAAUAAUGACAAGCUUAAAAGGAGGAAAUGUUGUAGCUGUAAAACGUAUGGGUAAGAAUGAGAAUGGUAGAGGAACCAUCCCUAUACUUCUCUCCUUUAAAGAUAAUGUACUACCAAAGAGGGUCAUGUUGGGAUUCAUGAGCUAUUCUGUAAAAGAGUAUGAAAGAACACCUCUGAGGUGCUUUAAGUGUCAGAGAUUUGGUCAUGUGGCAGCUGUGUGUAACAGAAAGAGAAGAUGUAGACGAUGUAGUAGGGAGCAUGAUGGGAAGGAAUGUACUGAACCUGUGAAAUGUUGUAACUGUGGGGGAGAACAUCCAGCUUCUUUCAGGGGAUGUCAUAAUUAUGUCAAAGCAGGAAAUGUGGAGAGAAUAAGAAAAGAAGAAAAAAUAUCUUAUGCAGAGGCAGUGAGAAGGGUGGAGAAAAAUGGUGGGGUAAGUCAAGAUCAAGGUGAGGCAAUGACAAGAGAUCUAGCAAAGGGACAGGUUUAUAAUGACGACUUAGUUGUCAUUAGUAAAAAAGGUCUACUGGCGUUCAUGGUUGAGGCAAUGUGGAGAGUUAAAAUGGUGGCAAACAAAAAAUCAGAUGUGGCGCGUGAAAUUGCAUCCGCUGCAGGAAAAUUUCUAGGAUUUAAGGGGAUAAAUCCAAAGGAAUUAUGGGAAUCUACUUUUACUCAGGACAGUGCAGAUCAAGGAAAAAUGGAAGUCAACAGAUAG